GUCUUUUUGUAUUUUAUGAAAAGUUUAACCUGCCCAUUGAUAUAAUUAAAAGGCUGCGGUAUUUUGACCGUACAAAGGUAGCAUAAUCAUUAGUUUUUUAAUUGAAAACUUGUAUGAAUGGUUGAAUGAAAUAUUAACUGUUUUAAUUAAAAUUUUUGAAUUUUACUUUUUAAUUAAAAGGUUAAAAUAAAUUUAAAAGACGAGAAGACCCUAUAGAGUUUUAUAGUUAUUAUUUUAUAUUUAAUAAAGAUUUACUAAAUAAUAUAUUAUAUUAAUUAUUUUGUUGGGGUGAUAAUAAAAUUUAAAAAACUUUUAUUUUAAAUUUAAUAAUACAUUAAUAUAUGAAAAUAUGAUCCAUUAUUAAUGAUUAUAAAAUUAAAUUACCUUAGGGAUAACAGCGUAAUUUUUUUUUAAGUUCAUAUUAAUAAAAAAUUUUGCGACCUCGAUGUUGGAUUAAGAUUUAAUUUUAGGUGCAGAAGUUUAAAUUUUAAGUCUGUUCGACUUUUAAAUUCUU
rnacentral:rRNA from 1 species